rnacentral:rRNA from 1 species
AUUGAACGCUGGCGGCAGGCCUAACACAUGCAAGUCGAGCGAGAAACGAACGGGAGACUAAUGUAUGAGGACUGCACACUAGAGGGGGAUAACUACUGGAAACGGUGGCUAAUACCGCAUACUAUCGGAUAACCCAUAUGGGAUUAGCUAGUAGGUGGGGUAAAGGCUCACCUAGUCGACGAUCUCUAGCUGGUCUGAGAGGAUGAUCACCAACACUGGGACUGAGCCACGGCCCAGACUCCUACGGAGGCAGCAGUGGGGAAUAUCGCACAAUGGGCGCAAGCCUGACGCAGCCAUGCAGCGUGUAUGAAGAAGGCCUUAGGGUUGUAAAGUACUUCCAGCGGGGAGCCGUUACCCGCAGAAGAAGCACCGUCGAUCUCCGUGCCAGCAGCCGUGGUAAUUC